CCAUAAUAUCUCAUGCGGCAUCGCAUGGGGUUGAAAACUCCGGUGGUGUAAGAUGGACCCGCGUCUGAUUAGCUUGUUGGCGGGGUAACGGCCCACCAAGGCGACGAUCAGUAGCCGGCCUGAGAGGGUGAACGGCCACAUUGGGACUGAGACACGGCCCAAACUCCUACGGGAGGCAGCAGUGGGGAAUAUUGGACAAUGGGGGGAACCCUGAUCCAGCGACGCCGCGUGAGUGAAGAAGUAUUUCGGUAUGUAAAGCUCUAUCAGCAGGGAAGAAAGAAAUGACGGUACCUGACUAAGAAGCCCCGGCUAACUACGUGCCAGCAGCCGCGGUAAUACGUAGGGGGCAAGCGUUAUCCGGAUUUACUGGGUGUAAAGGGAGCGUAGACGGCGAUGCAAGUCUGAAGUGAAAGGNGGGGGCCCAACCCCCGGACUGCUUUGGAAACUGUAUGGCUGGAGUGCAGGAGAGGUAAGUGGAAUUCCUAGUGUAGCGGUGAAAUGCGUAGAUAUUAGGAGGAACACCAGUGGCGAAGGCGGCUUACUGGACUGUAACUGACGUUGAGGCUCGAAAGCGUGGGGAGCAAACAGGAUUAGAUACCCUGGUAGUCCACGCCGUAAACGAUGAUCACCAGGUGU
rnacentral:rRNA from 1 species